rnacentral:rRNA from 1 species
GACGAACGCUGGCGGCGUGCUUAACACAUGCAAGUCGAACGGAAAGGCCCUGCUUUUGUGGGUUGCUCGUUUGGCGAACGGGUGUGUAACACGUGAGUAACCUGCCCUUGUCUUUGUGAUAACUUUUGGAAACUCGGGCUAAUACCGGAUAUGAUCUCCUGCUGCAUGGUGGGGGUUGGAAAGUUUCGGCGGUUGGGGCUGGACUCGCGGCUUAUCAGCUUGUUGGUGUGGUAGUUGCUUACCAAGGCUUUGACGGGUAGCCGGCCUGAGAGGGUGACCGGCCACAUUGGGACUGAGAUACGGACCAGACUCCUACGGGAGGCAGCAGUGGGGAAUAUUGCACAAUGGGCGGAAGCCUGAUGCAGCAACGCCGCGUGCGGGAUGACGGCCUUCGGGUUGUAAACCGCUUUCGCCUGUGACGAAGCGUGAGUGACGGUAAUGGGUAAAGAAGCAACGGCUAACUACGUG